UACGUAGGGUGCGAGCGUUGUCCGGAAUUACUGGGCGUAAAGAGCUCGUAGGUGGUUUGUCGCGUUGUUCGUGAAAACUCACAGCUCAACUGUGGGCGUGCGGGCGAUACGGGCAGACUGGAGUACUGCAGGGGAGACUGGAAUUCCUGGUGUAGCGGUGAAAUGCGCAGAUAUCAGGAAGAACACCUAUGGCGAAGGCAGCUCUCUGGGACGGUACUGACGCUGAGACGCGAAAGCGUGGGGAGCGAACAGG
rnacentral:rRNA from 1 species